rnacentral:snoRNA from 1 species
UGAUGAAACACUUUACGUAGGAAUCUCAUUGAGCUUCAGUCAUUCGUUGCCUUGAAAACAAUAAUCCUCUGACU